rnacentral:lncRNA from 1 species
ACUGUAAACACAUUCUCUGAGACUCUUCCUGUGUGCCUGUGUGUCUGUCUCUCUGUGCAUCUCUGUCUCUGUCUCUGUCUCUGUCUCUGUCUCUGACUCCCUCUCUCUGUCAGGAAUAUUGCAGCAUGACUGGGAAGCCUGUCCUUCAUUACUUCAAUUGAAGAAGAAGAAUGGAGUCCAUCCGGUGGCUCCUGGCAGCAGCUGGAGUAGAGUUUGAGGAAGAACUUUUUGAAACCCAUGAAGAGUUUGAGAAGUUAAUCCAAGGUGGAACCCUGAUGUACGAGCAAGUGCCCAUGGUGGAAAUCGAUGGAAUGACUUUGGUGCAGACCAGUGCCAUCUUAAGAUAUGUAGCUGCAAAAUAUGACUUGUAUGGAAGGAACCUGGAGGAACAAGCCUGGAUUGAUAUGUAUGUAGAGGGCUUAAGAGACCUGAGCGACAUGAUAAUGUACUUUCCACUCUCUCUGCCAGAAGAGAAGGAGAUGAACCUUGAAUACAUCCUCCACCGAGCUACAACAAGAUUCUUCCCCGUUUAUGAGAAGGCCCUGAGAGACCACGGGCAAGACUUUCUUGUGGGCAAUCGGCUGAGCUUGGCUGAUGUCCAGCUCCUUGAAGUCAUCUUAAUGGCUGAAGAAUGCAAAGCCAGUGUUCUCUCGGGUUUCCCUCUGCUACAGGACUUCAAGGUGAGAACCAGCCAAAUUCCUACAAUUAACAGCUUCCUCCAACCUGGAAGCCAGAGGAAGCCUCCUUUGGAGGAGCGAUCCAUUGGGACUGCAAAGGACAUAUUCAAAUUUGAAUGAGGACUGUUUCUUAAAAACAUGAGCAAUAUAGUAGCUGAGUAUUAACAGCUACAGAGGCUGGAGUUACUCAGUAAGUAUACUGAGUAACUUGACACUGCAUUCAUAAAAAGACACUCACUAAGUAUAUGGCCAGAGAAAUAUCCUGAAGUUAGUAAUAAAUGUUAGGAAUCUUAGUAUGUUAGCAAUGUUAGAAUGUUAGUAAUGGAAAUAUUAAAUGUGUAAGAGAAAAACUACUAGAAGCUUAUCAAUAAACUACAAGAACCAACUCUUGUUUGAAGUAAGACAGGCUACCAAGACAGAAUUCAGAAAAUCCAAGGAGCCCUCGGCCUUCUGUAUGAUCCUAGAAUAAACUUGUAUGUAGCAAGUGAAA